AGUCUGCAACUCGACUACAUGAAGCUGGAAUCGCUAGUAAUCGCGAAUCAGAAUGUCGCGGUGAAUACGUUCCCGGGUCUUGUACACACCGCCCGUCACACCAUGGGAGUCGGAAAUGCCCGAAGUCAGUGACCUAACCGAGAGGGAGGAGCUGCCGAAGGUGGAGCCGGUAACUGGGGUGAAGUCGUAACAAGGUAAC
rnacentral:rRNA from 1 species